rnacentral:rRNA from 1 species
GUGAGGAAUAUUGGGCAAUGCCCGCAAGGGUGACCCAGCAACGCCGCGUGGAGGAUGAAUGUCGUAAGAUUGUAAACUCCUGUUAGAGGGGAAGAAUAGUACCGGUUGGACCGGUAUAUGACUGUACCCUCAGAGAAAGCCCCGGCUAACUACGUGCCAGCAGCCGCGGUAAUACGUAGGGGGCAAGCGUUGUCCGGAUUUACUGGGUGUAAAGGGCGCGCAGACGGGAUAAAAAGUCAGUGGUGAAAUCCUACAGCUUAACUGUAGAACUGCCUUUGAUACUUUUAUUCUUGAGUUCGGGAGAGAGAGACGGAAUUCCAGGUGUAGUGGUGAAAUACGUAGAUAUCUGGAAGAACACUAGUUGCGAAGGCGGUCUCUUGGUCCGACACUGACGCUGAGGCGCGAAAGCGUGGGGAGCAAAC